ACAAAAAUGUUUCUGAUGGCAUUAUUAAGAAAUGAUUGCAUGAAUGAUGGUUUGGUUGUGCUUGUCAUAUUGAGAGAUGCUUGUGAUAUGUGACACUAAAAUACUCUUUUAUGAGAUAUAUAUAUUAAGAUGGCUUCAAACAGGGAAGUAUAUACUAACGUAUAUAUGUCCCUGCUUUGAAUUGUUAAUGCUGUCUUUUAAAAUUCUUUGUGCUCAAUUCAUGAAUGCAGUGGAAUAUAUGGAAUCAGAUUUUUAAUAUGUUCCUACGUUCUAGAAUGGAGACAAGUUACAUUGUACAAAAUUCAAUCAGGAUGAAAAUUUCUUGAAUUAUUGUAUGAAUUUAAAGGAAAUUGGUGAAAUCAAAUGUACCGUUACAUCAUUGUAAAUUUCCCCAAUUUUUACAAUGAUCUUAAUAAUAAAUUGUUUCUGGAAAUGCUUAACAUUGUGUUUAUGUCUUAAGAUACCUGGUAGUUAGUACAUGUACCUUAAAAUCAAGCACAGGCAGUUGGGUGGGUUUCUUUUGUGGGCCCCCCAGGAAAGCCUCUUAAUUUGUAUGUACACUGUAUUUUUUAUCAUUUUUAUCAUAGACUGUUUUUAAGUUCGGGAAAAAUAUCCAUCUUGAAAAAAUUUGGAGUGUCAUCUAAUAACCUUGAAUUUAAAUCAAGUUAUAACUUUCAGGAUGAUGUGAUAAAUUCUCUGUUAAGUUAUGAAUUGCCCUCACUUUAAAUAUUGCAUUCUCUGUUCAUGAUGUUUAUGAGCUCAAAAUAAAACACCAUGACCUGUU
rnacentral:misc_RNA from 1 species